UCCCUGAUAGCUCAGUUGGUAAAGAAUCUGCCUGCAAUGCAGGAGAUCCUGGUUUGAUUCCUGGGUUGGGAA
rnacentral:tRNA from 1 species